UACAGAGGGUGCAAGCGUUGUUCGGAAUUAUUGGGCGUAAAGGGCGCGUAGGCGGUGCGGUAAGUCUGUAGUGAAAUCUCUGGGCUCAACUCAGAGUCUGCUAUAGAAACUGCCGUGCUUGAGUGUGGGAGAGGUGAGUGGAAUUCCCGGUGUAGCGGUGAAAUGCGUAGAUAUUGGGAGGAACACCAGUGGCGAAGGCGGCUACCUGGACCGGUUCUGACGCUGAGGCGCGAAAGCGUGGGUAGCAAACAGG
rnacentral:rRNA from 1 species